AGCGUAUGGAGGCCAGAAACCACUCAAAAAACGGGGCAAAUACCGAAAAGCCAAAAGAGUAGGAAAAAA
rfam:Schleiferia thermophila str. Yellowstone contig00001, whole genome shotgun sequence.